CGCAGGCUUUAGCUUAUGCUAAUGGCAGGCUGGAGAGUGGCAGAGAGUUUGGCUGGAUCUGCCCGGCUGUGAGCUCAGGAAAGGAUCUGGCGCAAUGGAGGAGUCUGAGACGAACACCUCGGGGUGGAGGAUAUGUCACAGCAUGCCCCGCGCUCAGAUGGCCAGUGGACCGCAGAGGCCAAAAGGUUGCUUCCAUCUCUUCAGCUGGAAAUAUCAAAGUCAGAUUUGGUCAAAGAGC